rfam:Ovis aries breed Texel chromosome 2, whole genome shotgun sequence.
UCCCUGCUGGCUUAGGUGGUAAAGAAUCUGCCUGCAAUGCAGGAGACCUGGGUUCAAUCUCUGGGUAGGGAG